rnacentral:lncRNA from 1 species
UAACACCCAGACUUCGAAGUUGCUGAGUUUGAGGUUGAAGCACUUCAAGAAUCUCCUCAACAUUUUCCUGUAAUUGUGAUUCUUCAUUUCUAUCCCAUGACAAUUCCAACUUGUCCACGUACUUGCUUGACAUAUUAGCUUCUGCGGCAUCCAUUACACUUUUAACUCUCUCCAAGUUCUCAAUGUGAAGGUCUCCUUGAAGGUUCAUCUGUCCUAAUUCUGCUAAAAGAAACCCUUUUUUCUUGCCAACUACGUAUUGUGUUAAAGUUUUCAAGGAUGCCAACAUCCUUACAUGUUGGGGCAAGCUUGAUAGUGAAAUGCAGCCUCUCAAAUAUAGACGUUGUAGAGCUUUCAAGUGUACCAGACUAUUAGGCAACUUUUGGAGAUUUUGACAAUAGUCUAGCUUUAAAAUCUGCAAAUUCCACAACGUACAUAAGGAUUCUGGAAGAGUUUUGAAAUUUCCCCAAGAAAGAUUCAAGUACCUUAGAUAUUUUAAACGACCAAUUGAAGACGACAACUUUUCUUUUCUUUCGAAGUCAAGCACUCGUAAAGAAUAACAUCUCAAUACAUGGGGUGAAAGUUGGUCAUCAUAAUUUAUACAUGUCUUUAACGAUUCAACAUUAUGUAACCUGAUUGAGCAAACAUUCCGAAAAAAGUCCCUCCUACAAAUUGAGAGAUGGCGGAUUUUUUCAGACAUACUAGGUAUGCCACUAUCAUUUGUAAUGUGACAGACCUCUUCUGUGAUAGAUUGAGCAAGAUCAUGAACAAGAUCAUGCAUCGUGAAAUAUACAAUUUGUCCAAAAUCAUCUGUCUGAGUAUCUUGAAAAAAUGAUCUACAAUAUAAUUCAUUCCAUGCUUCAUUACCAAUAUCUUCUGCUUCCAACAUUCCAUUGGAUGGAAUAAAUCCAUUAGCCAUCCAAAGCUCAAUUACAAACUGUUUGCUUAUAAUUUCAUCCUUGGGAAAUAGUGCACAAAAGGCAAAACAUUGUCUCAAUUUUACCGGCAAAUUCAAGUAACUUAAUCUCAACGCAGGCAUGACAGAAUUCUCACCUUGUAAAUUCCAUAGCUUACUUUCCUUGACAUAGCGCCAUUCCUUUUCUUCUCGUUUAAACCGCAAUAAACUUCCCAGUGCUUUUGCUGCGAGAGGGACUCCCCUACACUUUUUUACUAUCUCUUUCCCUAUGACUGCAAGAUCUGACCGUUCAGCCUCAGUUGGUCCAAAUGCUCGUUGUUUAAACAAUUCCCAACAAUCAGUCUCAGAUAGCAUUGAUAUAUCAUGAAAGGGCAUUGUUCCCAUGAUUGCUGCAACCUUUGAAAGACGAGUGGUUACUAAAAUCGAAGCACCCUUGCCUCCACAAGCCAAUACAAAUCUCAAUCUCUGCCAAUUCUCUUGGUCGUCGUCCCACACAUCAUCCAACACCAGCAAAUAUCUUUUUCUUUGCAGCAAAUUUAAAAGUUUUCUUUGCAGCGGCUCUAGCUCUAAAUCCUCACAAGCAUGACCAGAUGUAGAUUCUAUGAUGGCUUUUGUCAUUCUCUUCAAACUGAAAUCUUCUGAAACGCAUACCCAAAUUCUUAGCUCAAAGUAGUUGACUACCUUCUCAUGAUUGAACACAAUUUGGGCAAGUGUUGUUUUCCCAAGUCCACCUAAACCGACAAUUGGAUAAACUGAUAAAUCCUCAAAACUAGAAGCAUCAUCAACCAAAAAGUCUACAAUUUUACUCUUAUCUUCAUCUCUUCCAUAAACUUGAGGUUGAGUAAUAAUUGAGGUGGUUUGUCGCCAGUCAAGGACUUCACAUCUCCUUUCUCUGACUAUCUCAGUCAAAUGAAACUUACUCCUUUCUUCAGCUAUUCCAUCCAAUCUCUCCCUUAUCCUCUUAAUUUUCUUAGCAAUUUUGUAACGGAAAGCAACAUUCUUAGGAUUUAAAGAGGAUAAGCAAGAGCUUUGUACCUUUUGUGAUGGUCCAUAUUUGAAUCCUUUGUACUCCGGUUCUAGUGCUUUGGUGGCACAUUCGUCCAAGAUGUCAUCGAGGACGUGAGCAGCAUCUUUGAGCUUAAGCAGCCAAUCCUUGAUAGCUCUGUUUGAGAAUUGCUUCUCCUCAGCAUCUUCAAGUGUAGCCUUGAUUGUAGUUAGCAAGCUGGAAAGACUUUUCAAUUCACGAUCGACACCUAGAAAUAGGCCAAGCUCCUUCUGAAUGAGUGUGCUCAAAUUAUCAAGGACAACUUCAAUGACAGCCUCAGCCAUGAUUCAAGUGAAUUUCAGCUCACAGAAUGUAAAUGGAAAAGAGUUUGUUUUGUUGAGAAAUUAAUAUCAGAAACAAAGACUAACAAAGUGUAAGUGGUAGGAGAUGUUAUGGUUUGAGUCUGUGAAGUCAACAGGUGACCCACACUGAUUAAUGUAUCUUUGAAAUUUUGCACAAAGUUGUUUAGGUCUCUAUCUACUUUUCAUUGUUAUUUGAUUGAAAUUUCUUGGAAACGACUACAAGGAAUUUUCAUGUUAGAAAAUUAUAAUAAGGUUGAAACUUCACUUAUAUAACAAUCUUGAAUUUUCUUUCAAAUUAUUUGAAUCAAGAAUGUGUUGGUUGAUUUCCUUCCACAAAAAUUUCAUAUUAAUUACCAAAAUAAAGUAAUAUCUCUAUAACAUAACACUAAUAAUAUAAUGAGCAAGUUAAUUGAAAUUAAGACAAAAGAAAGAAAUAAUGUUGAGUAGAUGAUUCAUACCCACAUAGGAAAGAGUUUAAUUUGUAUGCAUCAAUGUAAAAUUAUUUUACACAUGCAUCCAAUCAUACGUUGCCACAUCAUUUAAUGAAUAUAACCAGUCAUAUGUUUUCAAACACAUUACAAGAUGUGGCAACAAAUGAUUGUAUGCAUGCGUAAAAUAAUUUUACGCCGUCAAUGCAUAUAAAUAAAAUUCCACAGGAAAACAAAGUCAGCAGUUCCAUAUUUUGCUGUACGAAAAUAGGGUGAAUUAUUUGCUUGUGUUGGUGAGUGAGCGAGUAUGGAAGAAGGAGCAUGGUUGUUUUAGAAGCAAGGAAUGAUUCUUUCGAGUCUUAAAUUCACAAUCAUUCAUUACAGUAUCACUUGUAUUUAUGUCAGUAUAUAAGCUAUUUAGUUGUGUUGGUGAGUGCGCUGUGAAGGAAUAAUUUUACUUGCGUUUAUUACUGGGUUGAAAAACAAAUAUUUCUGGGUAUAAAAAAUGUCUGUCAAUGUUUUAUCAAAAACUAUAAUGUGUGUCAAUGUCAAACAAUUUUUCAAGCCAUAAAAAUUAGAAAAAUGUUAUCACAUUCUCAUGCACAAAUUUUACAUUAAGACUCGCACAAAUUUUAUAUUAAAAUUGGAACGCCCUUUGAGUUAUGGUUAAUGAGUAUCAUAUAUAUUUGAACACUUAGAAAACUCAGUAAACUCAAUGUUUAUAUAUCAACGGUGAUACUGAUAGACAAAGGAGCAUUAGGAGGGAACAGGUCUGGGUUUAACAAGUCGGUUUUGUUUGAUUUUUCGGGGGAAAAUAAAUCUUAAAUCCAAUACAGUAUCACAAGUACGUAUGUUAUUACAUAAGCUCCAAUACAACAGGACCUAAACUUGAUUCCACAGUUUUUAAAAGUAUAAGACCAACUUUUACUCUUUUUAAUAACACGCCCUCUACAGGAUUUAUACAGAGUAUAUGAUACAGAUUGAGAAUAGGCUGCAUAGUCUCUCCAUUGCCACCACCCUAGCAUGCUAUCUUUCUCACUACACCACCCUAUUAUUGACUCUAAGAUAACAAAAAUGAAGCUGAAAUGUUAGUAUAAGAUAUCUAUGAGGAAGCAGCUAAGAGACUACGUAUCUUGAUUCAUCAUUUCAUCAUUAUCUAUGAAACGCUCAAGCAGCUCCUUCUCUUGCAAAACCAAACAGUCUUCAACCUUACCAAGCCAUUCAUACCGAUUUUUUGCUAUAUAAUCGGACACAGAAGCCCUUAUUGGAGUUGGAAUCACCGACAGACAGUUGAGAGCAGAGUAAGGUAAUGGCAAGUAUGACAGUACGCGCAAUGCAACUGCAUAACAAUAAUGUCACAGUGAGAUUAACACAAAUGACACACAAUGAUGCUGCAUAACAAUAAUGUCGCAAUGAGAUUGACAACAGAGUAGUGACAGUAAUUAACAUACACGCUCAUCUGUUACAUAAAAUGAACGAUCUAAAUAUUUAAAAUUUGUCCGAAAGGACGGCAUUGGCAAGUUCACUAAAUUUAGAUUCAGAGCUCAUUCAUCAUCAUACGAAAUUGUACAAUGCGGACUACAACAGAAAAUUUACACAUUCUAUGAAACAGAUACAAAUUUUGAAACAUUUAUAGUUAUUAAUAUUCGGAGGUUUUUAUAAAAAGAGGAAGAAAGAAUAAAUACUUUGCAUUAAGAAUAUGGUUUGACACGGUUGAUGAUUGUAAAAUGCUAUCAUUAUCUAAACUAGAACUAAACUCAUAAUUCUAAUAAAAUAUGGAAACACAAUCAUCAAUAAUAACUAAGAAAUGUGGAAACUAUUCAUGAAACACUCUAAAAUAAUACCAAGAUAUUUUCAUACUGUUUAACACUUGGCCUCCCUUUCUACUCAAUUGUGAAACACUUCUACCUUGGUCAAUUCAACACAGUAACAAAUUUAUGAUUGCUAGAUCUACAAACUAUUGAACACAAAAUCUUAGAAAAAUCAUUCUCAAGUUGCAAUAUAUUUAAAGGAUUUAAUGUUAAAACUGUUCGCAGUAAAUAAAAUAGUUCAAAGAAAGACAAAAGAACAUAACGGCUGUUGAAGUAAAUUAAGUGAGUGUAUUCUAACCAGUAGAUCUCUACGAGAAUACACUUAAGCCUUGAAUGAAUAAAAAGCGAUGUAGGACAUCCUCUCGUUCAAGACCGGAUGCAACAGAAUUUGAUCUUCAUGUAAUAAAAAACAUUAGGCUAAUGAUCAAAAUUGUAUUCUACAAUGAAAUGUAAUAUAACAAUUGGAACAAAUCUAUGACAAUGCACAAGAUAGUUGAAUGGGGUAUAUUGACAAUGACAUGGUAAACAGAACAUGUUAACUCAGUCUCGCACCACAUUUUACUUUUUUUCCCUGGGGGGUUGGGGGAACUACUGGAUAGUCACAGUCGGUGACUGACCAGCGAUUACGCCUAAAAAACCUUAUUUUGAAUAAUUUAAAGAUCAAGUUACUUUCUCGUAAAAUGCCAAUUGAAAAUAGUAUAACAUUGAAAACACCAUCUAUAACAGCCCUACUUUCUCCGAAUAUAUUUCAUUCAACAUUAUAGAAGUUGCCACAUUCCCACAGCUAAAUCGAUUCUCAAGAAAUUACAUAAAUUUUACCCUAGUCUCUAACAAUAUAUAUACAUAAAAUUGAAAAUAACUUAAUGGAUACUGAUGAUCGAAUGCUAACUGUUCAGAAUACAAAUACUCAUAGGAUCACUAGAUAAGGAACAGCAUUAGCUCCAAUGCCUCUCUUACUUAAGUGCUAAUAUCAAGCAUGAACAUUAACGACUUUUUUAUGCCAACUAGUACCCACUAGGAUUAUUUUAAAGAGUCCCACAUCGGACAAAAGAUGACCUCACAAGCUGGUUUUUGGGUUGUGUUAGGCCCAACCACGAAUAGAUUAAUCAUCUGAGAAAUUUCGCAAGAAGUUGUUGAGGUCUCUAUGUACUUUUUGUUUGUUUUAUGGAAAUAGCUAAAAGAAAAUGACAGGCAAAGAAAAGAAACAAAGUUGAAGCUUCACUGAAAUAACAAGCUUGAACUUAUGGUAGAUAUCGUCACUUUCUUUCUAAUUAUUUCAAUAUAUUUCCACAAAAAAUUUCAAAUUUCAAAAGUAUAGUACCAUCUCAACAUAAGAAUAUAAUCAGCAAAGUACUUUAAAUAAUUUAAAUUAUGACAAGUGAAAGCAAAAAUAUUGAGAGAUGAUACAUACCCAUGUAAGCAAAUAAAAGGCGAUAUAAUGCUACAAUUGGCGCUGGGAUUGAAGCAAACACAGUUGUGUAUUUUCCGGGGUUGAACAAACAAGUGACACAGAUCCAAGAAGUGAAAUAAAACCCAAAAUUUGUAUCCCUUCAGUUUUGCAAGCGCAAAUCUGAACACCAAGCCUGUGAAAACAAAAACACAGGAAUGACACUUCAAUGCCACCAACAUUCAACAAAAUGAAAAAUACCCAAAUAUAAAUGACAUCCACCAAACCCAAAAUUUGUAAUGCUUCAAAAUAGGGUUUACCACCAUAAUAUAUACUUCAAAAUUAUUUCUCUAUAUAUAUAUCAAUUUUCAAAGACCAAAACAUAAUAUAUUGAUAGACACAUGCACUUACAUUUGAGGGAUCUAAACCCACCAAUCUACAGAAUAAGAUCUUCCUCCUCUUCCGCAGAACAUUCCUAUGUUUUGUAUUACAAUAUGUUGCACAUGAGCUAUUUUUGGCCAAUCCUCACCUGUGUUCUCUUUACAUCGUUCCCCUAACUCACUGCAACCAUAAAUUUCCAAACUUUUAAGACCAGUAAGGCAUUGAAUGCUCGUCGGAAGACACGUCAGCUUUGGACACUGAGAAAUACAUAAUUCUUGAAGUAAACUUAGGUUUCCUAACCAGUCAGGUAGGGAUGCUAGGUUUGGAAGAUAACUCAAUGUCAACGAUUGAAGGGAAGUCAUAUGUUGUAAAGCCAGGUGUAAACCUUCUAUUCCUGAGCACAAUUCUAUGCUUAAUUUUUUAAGAGUGUGCAAUCCUUGUAAUACUUCAUCUGCCAAUGACUUCAGGUUAUCACAUUUUGUGAUAUAUAUUUCUUGGAUGGUGCUAAUGUUAAGGAUUUCGGAUGGGAAUUGCUCAAGUUUGCAAAGCCAAAAAAUGUCAAAUGUUUUUAGAGAAAUCAGGUUUCUUAGCAUCCCAUCUGGAAAGCAAGUUAGCUCUUCAUUGUAUUGGAACAUAAGGGAUUCAAGAGUAACUUGUUUAUGAAUUGAACUUAGUAAAUCCGUGUUGCAUUUUCCUCGUAUACACAUAUCAAUGAGAGAGGGAAGACAAGGCAAGCCCAACAAUUCAGGACAUUCAGUAAUUUGAAAUUUAGAAAGGUUUGGGAGUAUGCUUUCUCUAUCAUCCCUUGAUAAGGCUAUCAGGUUUGGCAGCUUCUCUAGAACCAGAUAUUCUAGACGUAUGAAACCUCCUGCAACUCCAUUAUCGCACGACUCCUCGUCUAUGUAUUUUACAAGACUCAUACUAGAUAUUGUUAGACUCUUUAGAGAUGGUAGUUUCCCCAAAUGUGGAAGGUGUAAACAACUUUUGCAAUGCACGAGUUGUAAAGUAUUUAAAUGUUUUAGAGAAGGGCUAGACAUCCAUAGUGGGAAACAGGAACCGGUAUAUCCUAAAACAUCCAGACUUUGAAGUUGUUGAGUUUGAGGUUGAAGAACUUCAAGAAUCUCCUCAACAUUUUCCUGUAAUUGUGACUCUUCAUUUACCUCCCAUCGCAAUUGCAACUUGUCCACACACUUGCUUGACAUAUUAGCUUCCUUGGCAUUCAUUACACUUUUAACUCUCUCCAAGUGCUUAAUGUGAAGUGCUCCUUGAAGGUUCAU